CGGAAGAACCCUAACACUGCCAGCCGUCAGUUUCCUAGUGUGGUGGAAGAUAGUCUGAAAAAUGCAUCAAAUGAGGCUCUGAAGGGCUUGAAACUGACAGAUGUCACAGCUACAGCCAAGAACAAUCCCUCCACGCCCUCCUCCACAACCAUCCAUUCUGAGGACACGUCCAGCCACACCACCUCCAAGACAACGCAGAAGCCAAACACAACAACAACAAUCUCUCCAGCAAGUCUUCCCAGUACUUCUAGUUCUUCUGCAUCUGAUGUUGUUCCAGGCUGGGGCAUUGCUCUCCUUGUCUUAGUUUGCAUUAUUCUGCUCAUAGCCC